AAGUCGUAACAAGGUUUCCGUAGGUGAACCUGCGGAAGGAUCAUUACAGUACCAUCUGUACGUAGUGUUGGGCCUCGAAAGAGCGCCUAAUACGCCAAAACCUUGCAAACAAUUUAUCGUUACCUUGGCGGGCUUGCCUGCCGGUGGAUAUACACUAAACUCUUGUAAACAUGCUGUAAUUAGUGGAAUAUUGUCCGAAAAUAUAUCAAAUAUUUAAAA
rnacentral:misc_RNA from 1 species